AUAUGACUGGAGGGGAGCUACACACACUUUUCAGACCACAUUCGCAGGGCCUCAGUUCUCUAGGUAGAGGCUUCAAAGCCCCUCCUUUGAUGAUGACAUCAAGGUGGGCAGGUGGGCAGCUCAGAGCCCUUGGCUUUGGAGAAGUCUCAGCAUUUCAUGUCUAUUUUUUAAGUUCACCCUGAAGGUCACCCUUGUCCAGGAAACAAAGGCUGGGGUUGGGGGAUGUGAGGAUGAAUUAGGCGUGGAGUUCAAGGCCGAGGGUGGGAGGGGGAAGUGCUCAGGGCCAGGAUGGGAGGCCAGCCAGAGGGCCCUGGGGAAGGGCAGGGAAAGAGCCAACCCCCACAGGGUUUGGGUGGGAGGGAAUCUUUGAAGGCUGCCCAGAAAAGGGGACGUUCCCACUAGCUGAGAACUUCCCAUCAUUUAGACUUGACCUUGGAACCGUCUAUGAAGAGACAGUGUGCCACAUGAACGACAGUGCAGAUGACACUACAGAGAGAAGCUUCCCAAGUUUCUUUUUACAGGGCCGUGUUUUCAAGCACUGUCAAAAACCUUGUAGCCACUGGAUUGGGCCAGCCAGAGAGCAGGCUGAAGACUAGGCACCAGUGCAGUGCCCCUGACUGCCCAGUGACAAGACCUGGGCCUCUUUUCUUUUUUAGGGCCACACCCCGAGCAUAGAGAAGUUCCCCAUCCCGGGGCUGGAUCAGAGCUGCAGCCGCCAGCCUACGCCACAGUCACAGCAAUGCGGGAUCUGAGCUGUGUCUUCGACCUACGCCACAGUCAUAGCAACACUGGAUCCUCAACCCACUGAGCGGGGCCGGGGAUCAAACCCACAUCCUCAUGGAUACCAGGUGGGUUGUUACCCUGCUGAGCCACAACAGGAACCCAGAGUUUUAAAACCUCCCUAGGCGACUCCACUGGCAAAGUAGAGCCAGGGUGGUCUGGAAGUCAGGUCGGCUGGGUUUUGCUUCCCGCUCUGCCCCUGCCUCGCUGGCUGAUGGCGAGGCCAGCUGGCACCCUUUUUGAGCCCAUUUCCCUAAUGUGGGCUACGUGGGGGCAGAGCUAUAUGCAUUGUGCUCUGCUCCAUGUCACUGGGGUCACGGCUGGCUGACCACCCCUGCCCAGCGCAGAGGGGCGUUUGAGUUUUCCUGGAGUGAAAGCCACCGCAGACAAGGGUUUCUUUGCUCUUCCCUCCACCUGGAGAUGCACCCCCAAUUCUGUGGGAUUCCUGCCCACCCUGCCCCCAGAGCCCGAGACCAGCAUCCCACCGCCCACAGCUCCCAACCAUGGACACAGGGCCUGAGACCUCCUUGGGACUCCAGGUGCCAAGACCUUUCCAGUACCUGAGGGAGCGGGCAGGCGGGGCUUCCUGUGCCUGGGCCCACUUUUCCAGCUCGCUUGGGCUCCACGCUGCCCGGGGGGACCAAGGAAGGACUUAUGAUCCAGUGCAGUGAGCGUUUGGUCUUUGCCCCAGUUUCUCCAGCUUGUGGGUUCUGGCUGCCCUUCCAGGGCCUAGAAAACCAAAGCCAGUGACCCUCCUCUGGGGUGAUGGGUUGGUUGCCAUGGAGACGUUCUACAUCUCAGCCGGCUGACCCCUGAAUUCUGCCCUUUGCGUCUUCUUUCCGGGAUGGGGCUGGUCCUGCUGGGCAGAGUUCAACGCUUGGAGUUGGUCCCUGCCAGGGAUGCGGUGGGGGAGGAGGGGAGGGGAGGACAAAAGGGAGCCCAGCUUUGCACCAACAGUAACAGUCACGGUAGCUCAGAUGUGCUGAGAGCUUAGCCCAGGCUAGGUGCUCUGUCGGCACCUCCGUGAACCACCCCACGUGCUCCCCUACGGUCCUAGGAGGUGGGUGCUGGUGGAGGGCACAGCUGCAGCCACAGACCCUGGCCAGUCGCCAGGGUAGACACCUGAGGGACACUGCCCCUGAGCACAUCCAAUGACCCAACAGCUGUCCUGGCGGUUGUUAGAACAGCUGUUUGGGUGGGUCAGUAGUGGGUGGGUUUCGCCUGCUUCUGGGCCCUCCGUACACCUCCUCGUCCCUCUCGUGGCAGGGGACUACGUCUCAUUUAUAUUUCUUGUAUCCUGGGCAGACAGCUGGCACCAGUAAGGGAUGCAGGCUGGAAGUGAGUUGCAGACUUCUCAAGCCGCCGCCUCCUCCUCCCCCAGGGCCAGUCUCAGGUCCACGGCAGACUCCCCCGAGUGCCCAGAAAGCCUCAGCUCCAUAACCAAUGUGGCCACCAGGCGGCCAGCGCCCACACCCCGCAGGCCUCACUCCUCCAGAAAACUAGAAGUCGGCUUUUUUUUUUUUUUUAACUUCUGCUGACAGCCCGAAAAUCCUGUGAUUUAUACGAUUAAUAUGAGAAGCAACAUCAUUAUUCUGUGAAUAUAUUAUUCAUUCACUAGUGAUCUAUUCUCUCCACACCCAGCUCUGAGAGUCAAUUUUCCCUCCCUGCUAUUUUAAUAGACCCGCAUUUUAAAUGGCGAGAGCAGUCCAUUAAACAUGUAUAAGAUGUAAUCUCAUUUAGAGUAUGCGCUUCCAGGGGAUCCGCCUCAUAAGCACACAGACAACAAUGCUGCCUGGUCUUGUUGGGGCCCACAUGGGUGGGCAGCUGAGAACAAAGUCAGGCUCCGAGUAAGGAAUGUGUUAAAACUUCUGAUUGGGGUCCGAGGUUCCCUGGCAGGGGGAAUGAGCUCUGUCCCUGGACACUUGGGUUGCAGAGGCCCCGCCCACUCUCCUCUGUCCCCACCCGCACCGUGGCCGUCCACGCCUCUGAGAGUGCGGCAUUUGGGGGAAGAGGGAAGGGUCUUCUCUAAGGGAGUCAGAUCCUCAUUUUUUGCUUAAUUAAAAAGCACUGGGGGAGUUCCCUGGUGGCCCAGUGGUUAAGGACCUGGCAUUAUCACUGCUGUGGUGUGGCUUCAAACCGUAGCCCAGGAAUUUCAGCAUGCCAUGAACACCCCCUCCACCCACCCCUCAAAAAAAAACUGGGAUGGCUGCAGCCUUCGUGAGCUCCACUUUCUCCCUUAUAAACAGUAAAUCAAAUCAUGAAUCCAGCCCUGGGGCUGCAGGGGAGCCCGUUCAGGUCCAUCCACCAGCCUGCGUGGGUGAAGAUGGUUCUCUAUACAAGGUCAGAGGACAGACAUAUGGGGACUUUGAAAGGUUCCAGCAAAGUUGUUACACUGUUACUGCUGUGACUGUGGAAUAUGAGGAGCCCACGCAAUGGGUCUUGACCUUGAGGAGCUUCUGGUCUGACCUAAAUUGGUGACUCACCCCAGUCCGGGGCUGGGAGGCGCCCUAGAGUCUGGCAAUGGUGCUCUAGCAGCACAGAGAUGAGAGCCGUGACUCUGAGGCCACUGCCAAAUGCUUCCUGGAGGAGAGGGUGUUUGACAGACGGCACAGAAGGACAGACACAGUUUGGCCAGGUUGGGUUCACUGGGGAGGGCGGAGGGGCAGCAGCAGUGAGGUGACAGCGUGGAUGUGGUGUGGAGCCAGUUUACAGAGGACUUCAGACCAUAAGCCAGAAAGCUAGGACCUGGUGCAGGCAAUGGGGAGCCAUUGCAGGCUUCAGAGCUGAGUGACCAGUCGGAGCUAUACAGGUUCGCCUUUCAGAAUGCCACGGCUGUGUCCAAGUGCAGUCUGCAGAUAGCUCAGGGCUAAGGUGGGGGAGGUGGUGGUGUUCCUGAGGUUCCCCUGCCCUGGGCAAACUCCUAUUUAUCCUUCAAGACCUUGGCCAAGUGGCCCCUCCUCCUCUGCGAAGCCUCCCCUGACUCCAUUCUCUGUUGCCUGUCUGCAGAUGGUGACCAAAAAUCAACCCUGGCUCUAAGAGUGUGACCCACAAAGCAGCAGGUAACCAUUGAGAUCAGUGGCAUCUCAGGCAGGAGGGGAGCCUAAGGGUGGGUGCCGCCAGAAGCGGAUCUUGGGACCUCAGAGAGUGCAGGUGAUUUACCCAGGAGGCAUCCUGGAAGCACUCGCUUGGGCAUCUGAGAGGCAGGGAUUUCCAAGGCUGCCAGUAAAAGGUGAAGAAUGACCUCCCUGGGAGCUGAAGCGGAAAGCCUUGGGACACUGCCGCGGGAGACAGCGUGGAGCUUGUGCUCCGAGCUGCACCUCCCCGACCCGCAGCAGGGCAGGUGAGCUGGGGGACUAAUGCGCCCAACCUCAGUGCUCACUGGCUGAGAACGGCCCCUGGGGGCUUCCCGUCUGUUGGGUGUUCAAGAGAAAGCCCUCUGGCCAUGGGACACGACACUGGCGGUUGGAAGCCGGCGGUCUGUUUGGCAGUGGUGAGAUGAGAGGGGACACAGGUGCAGCACCAGCUGCGUCAGCUACAGAACCCUGCCCAUCUUGCGGGAAGUACACGUGCGUGGCCAUGAAGCUGGGACCUCAGAGAGACAUGAGCUGGGGGCGAGGGUCCAGCUCGGUCCUGCCCUGUCUGUGGCUUGGUCACCACACAGCUGUCCUCUGCUGGGAAACCGGCCCCACGCCGGCCAGGACACCUCAGCUCUCCCCUUCCAGCACCAGCUCCCACGGCCGCCUGCUCGGAGCCUGCACUGGAACGUGGUCCUGGGUGGUGGCCAUGGGGACAGUGUCCCCAGCAGGGAACGAUGGCUUCUCCAGCUUCCUCCUGGGAGUGUCUGAGAAAUGGGAGCCCCUCUGCACCCCAACGAUUCCCUAAGUCUGGGCUGCACUCCGGGGACCAAUCUUCCUGCUCUGCCAAAGGGCUUCUCUGCCCCCUUCAAGGCAGGCGCGCCCUGGGUUGGGAGGCUGGAACCCGCACUCCUGACCCCCCUCCUCUGCCACCCCCACUGGAAUGAGCACUUCGGGGCUCGGACUAGAAGGAAGGGGAUUCUGCCGAGGGGACCAGCCCAGGGGCCCGCACGGAGCGCUAACAACGAAGGGCGCCACGUGCAACACUGAUGCGCUGACGAGACCAUUUGUCCCCCAUGGGGCGUGGGCACCCCAAGGGGCUAAAAAUAGUUCUGGGAGGAGGGCAUGAAAAAAAUCUCAGCUGUUAAUAGUGAUCUGUGUCCAUUCAAAGCUCAAAGCGAGCUGCUACCCACCAAAAUUGCAGGCCUCAGUAUUUAAUUUCACGGGGGACGUGGGAUUAGUUUUAAAGGGUGUCCUUAGGAAGGUGAUGGUGGAAAGUGGGCUGGGAAACGCUGGGCUUGAUGGGAUCCUGCCUGGUACCAGCCCAUCUCUGUCCGUUACUAGGAACCAUCAUCUUCACCGGACUUGGGAGAACAGUGGGGGCCACACCCACACCGCUGGACUGAGUGGGGUGUCUGUGCCCAUCCCAGGCCCCCAGCUCUGGAAUGGGCAGGCCUCCCAGCCCCAGGAGUCCCCACAGAGCCCCCCGCCCCCCGUACCUGCUGGACGCGCCCCCAGAUUCACUCAUCCCUCAGCGGCAGGCCAAGGCCGAUGCACGAGGGCGGGCGGGUCGGAGCGCUCCU
rnacentral:lncRNA from 1 species